rnacentral:rRNA from 1 species
AAAGAAUGAAUGGCGUUAUGAAGACAGCUGAUAGACUUUUCUCAAUGAUGUAAGUGGUGGUGCAUGGUCGUUCUUAGUUCGUGGAUUGAUUUGUCUGGUCUAUUCCGAUAACGAGCGAGACCCCUUCGUUCCUUCUAUGGGGCGGCAGCCCGGCUUACCUGCCCUCACGGGCGGGUUUGCUAGCAGCCGCCUAAGAAUCAACUUCUUAGACGUAUCAGGGCCGACAAGGUCCUUGAAAUGGGUUAAUAACAGGUCAGUCAUGCCCUUAGAUGUUCUGGGCCGCACGCGCGUUACAAUGGUAAACAUUAGAACGUGCUCCUAUGGGGCUUCUCCGCGGCCGACGGGUCGCGGUAACCCCUAAUCUCUCCCUUGACUGGGACAGACUAUUGCAAUUAUUGGUCUCCAACGAGGAAUUUUUAGUAGUCGCAGGUCAUUAACCUGCGACGAAUGCGUCCCUGCCCUUCGAUAUAGGGGAACCCAGCUAUCCAACGUCAGUACUCAGCCCUAUAGUAAGGCGGGAGGUCGCUCCACCCGCUUGAAAGGCUAGGGAAAGCAGGACGGCAGGAGGAUCCUGAGGGGCAAAAAAGGCUUCGGCCUUAGUCCAACUGAAGUAGACCGCGACCCCAACCCACCGUUGAAGACCCAGCCAGACCCCCCCCUCUUGCAUAGGGGGGGAGAGGAUGGGGAAUAGGAGGGCGGCGAGUAGACUAUGGAUGUCCGCCUGAAACGACAGGCGUGGUGGGGCGAGCGAGAGGUAAGCCUUGGCGGCCGCUUCAUUGCGGCUGCUGUCCCAAAAGCUGACCAGACCGCUCGCCCCUUGAUGGGCGACACUAGCAAAUUGCGGGGAAGUCCUGAUGUCACUAACCUACCAACCGGUACCUUGAAAGGGGACCGGGCCAACGCGUAAUAGCCUUGGGUACGGUAACAAUGGAUAGUGGCGGGAUUACCUGCAGCCAAGCCCUUCGGACCCCGCAAGGGUCUGGUGGGUGCAGUUCACAGACUAAACGCUAGUGGGUAGGCCAAAGGAGGGACCCGGUACUCUCGGAGGUGGAUCCCGCCCCACCUGCAUAGAUUAGUCGAGGCCACUGACUACUCCGCCACAGGGCCCCUUCAUUG